GAUGAACGCUGGCGGCGUGCUUAACACAUGCAAGUCGAACGGAAAGGCCGAAGCUUGCUUCGGUACUCGAGUGGCGAACGGGUGAGUAACACGUGGGUGAUCUGCCCUGUACUUCGGGAUAGGCUUGGGAAACUGGGUCUAAUACCGGAUAUGACGAUCUCUUGGAUGGGGUUGUGGAAAGCUUUUGCGGUAUGGGAUGAGCUCGCGGCCUAUCAGCUUGUUGGUGGGGUAAUGGCCUACCAAGGCGUCGACGGGUAGCCGGCCUGAGAGGGUGUACGGCCGCAUUGGGACUGAGAUACGGCCCAGACUCCUACGGGAGGCAGCAGUGGGGAAUAUUGCACAAUGGGCGCAAGCCUGAUGCAGCGACGCCGCGUGGGGGAUGACGGCCUUCGGGUUGUAAACUCCUUUCGCAAUCGACGAAGCCUUUUGGUGACGGUAGGUUGAGAAGAAGCACCGGCUAACUACGUG
rnacentral:rRNA from 1 species